AACAUCGCGCACCUGCGGGAACCUGCGGAAGGAUCAUUAUCGAGUUAGGGUCGUUCUGGCCCGAACUUCCAACCCCUUGUUUAUCACACCAUGUUGCUUUGGUAGGCCCGCCCCUCCUUGGGGGGGCCGCCGGAGGUUAUCUUACCUCUGGCCCGUGCCUGCCAGUAGCCUUAUUAAAUUCUUUUUUAACUGUGUCGUCUGAGUGGCCUUUUAAAUCGUUAAAAACUUUCAACAAUGGAU
rnacentral:misc_RNA from 1 species